UACUCAUAUGGUCCGGAACACAUACAUGAUAUUCUGUGCGUUGUCGGUCGUCUAUUAAUUUUUUUCUUUUGUUGAUGGAUUUGACGUCUUUCUGUGAGUGAUUAUUUGUUCAUGACUUAAAACUUACUUGCAAAUAAUUUAAAAACAAGACUUGAUUUAUAAAAAUGUCCAAACAAACCAUGAUUUUUUUUUAAACAUACAUCACAUCCAUUGCAAAAGGCUAAAAUUCGCCAGGUCUUUAAUUUCAACUAAGUGAGUUGACUAAAUUAAUGUUGCGGACCAUUUUCCAAUUUCCAUGCGGUAUCCCUAUUUUUUUUCUCGCUCAUCUUUUAUGUUUGUUUUUUUUCAUCCCAAGACCUCUUGGAGCUUUCAUUCUAUAAAGUGUGUAUUUUGCUAAUGGUCGAAGGCCAUACGGGGACCUAUAGCUUGCUUGAUAACGCCUGUUGGUCCCUGGAAAGAAUGUGUCUGAUUGCCUAUCACACUUCAUAUUCUUAUUUUAACAUGCAGUUAUAUCUAUGAUAAGAAUGAAAAUUGAAUUGUCAUUGAGACAAAAACCCAACCAAAGAGCAAAAAAAAAAAAAAAAAAAAAAAAGCCCAAGGCAACAUGUAGAUCUUUCGUAUCAAGGGAAUUGCUAUAAAUAUAUUUAUUUCAGGUUAAUAGUAUUAGGCCAUACUCAAGUUAUAAAAUAGAUCUUGUCGUCAACUUUUGCAACCAGC
rnacentral:lncRNA from 1 species